rnacentral:rRNA from 1 species
GAUGAACGCUAGCGAUAGGCUUAACACAUGCAAGUCGAGGGGCAGCAUGGUCUUAGCUUGCUAAGACUGAUGGCGACCGGCGCACGGGUGCGUAACACGUAUGCAACUUGCCUCACAGAGGGGGAUAACCCGUCGAAAGACGGACUAAUACCGCUUUCACUCUAUUUUGGGCAUCCAAGGUAGAGGAAAUGAAAGUCGCUGUGAGAUAGGCAUGCGUCCCAUUAGCUAGUUGGUGAGGUCACGGCCCACCAAGGCGACGCUGCGUGGGGGAGCCGGGGGGUUGCCCCCCCACAAUGGUACCAGGGCACGGACCAGACUGCUACGGGAGGGAGCAGUGAGGAAGAUUAGGCACUGGGCGAGGACCUGAACCAGCCAAGUCGCGUGAGGGAUGCCUGUCUUAUGGAUUGUAAACUUCUUUUGUAGGGGAAUAAAGAGGGGCACGUGUGCCGUAGUGACGGUACCCAAAGAAUAAGCACCGGCUAACUCCGUG